rnacentral:rRNA from 1 species
AGGGUUCGAUUCUGGCUCAGGAUGAACGCUGGCGGCGUGCUUAACACAUGCAAGUCGAACGGGAUCCAUCGGGCUUUGCCUGGUGGUGAGAGUGGCGAACGGGUGAGUAAUGCGUGACCGACCUGCCCCAUGCACCGGAAUAGCUCCUGGAAACGGGUGGUAAUGCCGGAUGCUCCAUCACACCGCAUGGUGUGUUGGGAAAGCCUUUGCGGCAUGGGAUGGGGUCGCGUCCUAUCAGCUUGAUGGCGGGGUAACGGCCCACCAUGGCUUCGACGGGUAGCCGGCCUGAGAGGGCGACCGGCCACAUUGGGACUGAGAUACGGCCCAGACUCCUACGGGAGGCAGCAGUGGGGAAUUUUGCGCAAUGGGGGGAACCCUGACGCAGCAACGCCGCGUGCGGGACGAAGGCCUUCGGGUUGUAAACCGCUUUCAGCAGGGAAGAUUCAGACGGUACCUGCAGAAGAAGCUCCGGCUAACUACGUGCCAGCAGCCGCGGUAAUACGUAGGGGGCGAGCGUUAUCCGGAUUCAUUGGGCGUAAAGCGCGCGUAGGCGGCCGCCUAAGCGGAACCUCUAAUCCCGGGGCUCAACCUCGGGCCGGGUUCCGGACUGGGCGGCUCGAGUGCGGUAGAGGCAGGCGGAAUUCCCGGUGUAGCGGUGGAAUGCGCAGAUAUCGGGAAGAACACCGAUGGCGAAGGCAGCCUGCUGGGCCGCCACUGACGCUGAGGCGCGAAAGCUGGGGGAGCGAACAGGAUUAGAUACCCUGGUAGUCCCAGCCGUAAACGAUGGGCGCUAGGUGUGGGGGGACCAUCCCCCCGUGCCGCAGCCAACGCAUUAAGCGCCCCGCCUGGGGAGUACGGCCGCAAGGCUAAAACUCAAAGGAAUUGACGGGGGCCCGCACAAGCAGCGGAGCAUGUGGCUUAAUUCGAAGCAACGCGAAGAACCUUACCAGGGCUUGACAUGCGAGUGAAGCCGCGGAGACGCGGUGGCCGAGAGGAGCUCGCGCAGGUGGUGCAUGGCUGUCGUCAGCUCGUGUCGUGAGAUGUUGGGUUAAGUCCCGCAACGAGCGCAACCC